AUUUUAGAAUACUAACUCAUAUGUAUUAAUCCCAAUCAGCUUCAAAGCUGAUGAUGAGGGUCAUUCCUUACUAGUCUGCAAGGGGGUGGUACAAGGGUUGGUUCAUCUCAAACAAAGUCCAGCUCUCAAGGCUUCAUCGCAUCGUUGCACCACUUGAAUGGUUCUGCCUGUGGCUGGACAUUAGCUCAUCUCUUGAAACUGUGUAAAUCACACAAAACUCAAAGCUCCUUUGUGUGCAAUGUCCAUUUGCUUACCCUCAGCUGUCAUUAGGUCUAACAUCCAUGGCUGCUUGGAGAUUUUAAGUGCUCUUCAGUAAAUUCUUACAGUGUU